GACAAUGGGGGCACCCUGCAUCCAGCCAUGCCGCGUUGUGUGAAGAAGGCUUUCGGGUUGUAAAGCACUUUCAGUGAAGGAAGGAAGGCCUUAAAGUUAAUACCUUUGAGGAUUGACGUUACUCGCAGAAGAAGCACCGGCUAACUCCGUGCCAGCCAGCGCGGUAAUA
rnacentral:rRNA from 1 species